AUUGAACGCUGGCGGCAGGCCUAACACAUGCAAGUCGAGCGGAGCGGCAGAAGAGUGAGUAAUGCCUAGGAAUCUGCCUGGUAGUGGGGGACAACGUCAGGAAAAGGGAGCUAAUGACGCAUACUAUCAGACGAGCAUAGGUCGGAUUUGCUAGUUUGGUGGGUAAAGGCCUACAAAGGAGACGAUCCGUAACUGGGCCGAGAGGAUGAUCAGUCCAACUGGAAAUGAGACACGGUCCAGACUCCUACGGGAGGCAGACGUGGGGACGAUUGGACAAUGGGGGAAAGCCUGAUCCAGCCAUGCCGCGUGUGUGAAGAAGGUCUUCGGAUUGUAAAGCACUUUAAUUUGGGAGGCGUUACCUACAGAAGAAGCAACGGCUAACUACGUGCCAGCAGCCGCGGUAAUUC
rnacentral:rRNA from 1 species